rnacentral:lncRNA from 1 species
UGCGCACCACCCCCCCUCCCGCCUAGGAGGGGGGAGGGCCCCCUCUUGGCCACCGCCUUCGCGGCCUUUAAACUCCCCUGGAGACUGCGGCUACUGCCACCGCCUUGCCUCCACUGCCUCUUCGCGCAGCACACAGAUGCGGACGGUGGGUGGGAAAAAGGGCAGACGCUACUCCCAGCGAACCGCCGCUGCCGCUCCCGAGGCCUCACCAAAAUGGCCGCCGCCGUCUCGGCCGCCACCACCACCACUACCACCACCACUCGCUCGGAAUCGCUAUCGCCGGCGCGGCCCGUCUUCUCGCGAGAGACGAUCACCCAGUAAGCUGCAGCAAGUUAGCAGUGGAACCUGGGCCUCCCGAUUCCCAUGGCAGCCCACUUCUGUAGCGCUGCUUCGUUUUACGCGAGGAUGGUUUCCUGAUAGCUUUCAAACACCUUUGCCAUCUCUUCGCAAACUUUCUAGAUUAAGAAUCCCUUUGAGAAUCUGAUACCUUUACCCCAGAAUAGAACAAUAAAUAACAGCUACCUUCUACUGACAC